rnacentral:rRNA from 1 species
UACAGAGGUCCCAAGCGUUGUUCGGAAUCAUUGGGCGUAAAGCGCGCGUAGGCGGCCCUGUAAGUCCGUUGUGAAAGUCAAAGGCUCAACCUUUGAAAGCCGAUGGAUACUGCAGGGCUAGAGUCCGGAAGAGGCGAGUGGAAUUCCUGGUGUAGCGGUGGAAUGCGCAGAUAUCAGGAGGAACACCAAUAGCGAAGGCAGCUCGCUGGGACGGUACUGACGCUAAGGCGCGAAAGCGUGGGGAGCGAACAGG